AACGAACGCUGGCGGCAGGCUUAACACAUGCAAGUCGAGCGCCCCGCAAGGGGAGCGGCAGACGGGUGAGUAACGCGUGGGAAUCUACCCAUCUCUACGGAAUAACGCAUGGAAACGUGUGCUAAUACCGUAUACGUCCUUCGGGAGCAAGAUUUAUCGGAGAUGGAUGAGCCCGCGUUGGAUUAGCUAGUUGGUAGGGUAAAGGCCUACCAAGGCGACGAUCCAUAGCUGGUCUGAGAGGAUGAGCAGCCACACUGGGACUGGGACACGGCCCAGACUCCUACGGGAGGCAGCAGUGGGGAAUAUUGGACAAUGGGCGCAAGCCUGAUCCAGCCAUGCCGCGUGAGUGAUGAAGGCCCUAGGGUUGUAAAGCUCUUUCACCGGUGAAGAUAAUGACGGUAACCGGAGAAGAAGCCCCGGCUAACUUCGUGCCAGCCGCCGCCGUAAGAC
rnacentral:rRNA from 1 species